ACUUUACCAUGCGGGCAACCGUGAUAAGGAAACCCCGAGUGCCAGCACAGGCUGGCUGUCCGCCAGUUUAAACAACUGGCGAAGAAAGGGCCGGGCAAGACCGGUGCCAGCCGCCGCGGUAAUACCGGCGGCUCGAGUGGUGGCCGCUUUUACUGGGCUUAAAGGGUCCGUAGCUUGAUUCACAAGUCCCUUGAGAAAUCCAUCGGCUUAACUGAUGGGCGUUCAGGGGAUACUGUGGUUCUAGGGACCGGGAGAGGUGAGAGGUACUGCCGGGGUAGGAGUGAAAUCCUGUAAUCCCGGUGGGACCACCUAUGGCGAAGGCAUCUCACCAGAACGGGUCCGACAGUGAGGGACGAAAGCUGGGGGAGCAAACCGG
rnacentral:rRNA from 1 species